CUGAGAGACGUAAGCUAGGGGACCGUACAGGAUUAGAGACCCUGGUAGUCCUAGCCCUAUACGAUGGAUUCUAGAUUUGGGGUCGAGAAGACUCUGUGUCUCAGUUAACGCGCUAUGCAUCCCGCCUGGGGAUUACGCCCGCAAGGCUAAAACUCAUACGAAUUGACGGGGCCCCGCACAAGCAGCGGAGCGUGUGGUUUUAUUCGAUGCUACACGAAGAACCUUACCUGGGUUUGACAUGUAGGUGGUAGAGAAGCGAAAGCGGAUCGACCCUUCGGGGAGCCUACACAGGUGCUGCAUGGCUGUCGUCAGCUCGUGCCGUGAGGUGUCGGGUUAAGUCCCGUAACGAGCGCAACCCUUGCCCUUAGUUACAAGUGUCUAAGGGGACUGCCGACGCUUAGCCGGAGGAAGCUGGGGAUGACGUCAAGUCAGCAUGGCCCUUAUAUCCAGGGCUACACUACACGCUACAAUGGUCAGUACAAAGGGCAGCGAAGCCGCGAGGUGAAGCGUAUCCCAACAAAGCUGAUCUAAGUUCGGGUUGCAGGCUGCAACUCGCCUGCAUGAAGCUGGAGUUGCUAGUAACCGCGCGUCAGCUAUAGUGCGCUGUAUAGUUCCCGGGGCUUGUCACACCGCCCGUCACGUCAUGGGAGUCGGUUACGCCUGAAGCUGGGAGUCUGCCCUCACGGG
rnacentral:rRNA from 1 species